CUACGGGGGGCUCCAGUGGGGAAUAUUGCACAAUGGGCGCAAGCCUGAUGCAGCCAUGCCGCGUGUAUGAAGAAGGCCUUCGGGUUGUAAAGUACUUUCAGCGGGGAGGAAGGGGGUAGAGUUAAUACCUUUGCUCAUUGACGUUACCCGCAGAAGAAGCACCGGCUAACUCCGUGCCAGCAGCCGCGGUAAUACGGAGGGUGCAAGCGUUAAUCGGAAUUACUGGGCGUAAAGCGCACGCAGGCGGUUUGUUAAGUCAGAUGUGAAAUCCCCGGGCUCAACCUGGGAACUGCAUCUGAUACUGGCAAGCUUGAGUCUCGUAGAGGGGGGUAGAAUUCCAGGUGUAGCGGUGAAAUGCGUAGAGAUCUGGAGGAAUACCGGUGGCGAAGGCGGCCCCCUGGACGAAGACUGACGCUCAGGUGCGAAAGCGUGGGGAGCAAACAGGAUUAGAUACCCCGGUAGUC
rnacentral:rRNA from 1 species